rnacentral:rRNA from 1 species
CGGAGGGGCUAGCGUUGUUCGGAAUUACUGGGGCGUAAAGCGCACGUAGGCGGACUGGAAAGUUGGGGGUGAAAUCCCGGGGCUCAACCUCGGAACUGCCUUCAAAACUAUCAGUCUGGAGUUCGAGAGAGGUGAGUGGAAUUCCGAGUGUAGAGGUGAAAUUCGUAGAUAUUCGGAGGAACACCAGUGGCGAAGGCGGCUCAUUGGCUCGAUACUGACGCUGAGGUGCGAAAGCGUGGGGGAGCAAACAGGAUU